AACGAACGCUGGCGGCAUGCCUAACACAUGCAAGUCGAACGAGACCUUCGGGUCUAGUGGCGCCCGGGUGCGUAACGCGUGGGAACCUGCACUUAGGUUCGGAAUAACUCCCCGAAAGGGGUGCUAAUACCGGAUAAUGUCUACGGACCAAAGAUUUAUCGCCUUUGGAUGGGCCCGCGUUGGAUUAGCUAGUUGGUAGGGUAAAAGCCUACCAAGGCGACGAUCCAUAGCUGGUCUGAGAGGAUGAUCAGCCACACUGGGACUGGGACACGGCCCAGACUCCUACGGGAGGCAGCAGUGGGUAAUAUUGGACAAUGGGCUAAAUCCUGAUCCAGCAAUGCCGCGUGAGUUAUGAAGGCCUUAGGGUUGUAAAGCUCUAUUACCCAGGAUGAUAAUGACAGUACCGGGAGAAUAAGCUCCGGCUAACUCCGUG
rnacentral:rRNA from 1 species